rnacentral:misc_RNA from 1 species
GAGACCUUAAAAAGCAUGAGAGUCUUGAAACUGCACUCAUGGGAGUCAACUUUCUUGAAGAAGCUGCUUCAACUAAGAGAAAAUGAGAGGGGUUGGCUUAAGAGAUACCUUUAUACAUGUUCUGCUGUAGCUUUCCUAUUUUGGGCCUCGCCAACGCUCGUCUCAGUUGUAACCUUUGGUGUUUGUAUCAUCUUAAAAACACCAUUAACCUCGGGAGCAGUU